GCCCUACGGGAGGCUGCAGUGGGGAAUAUUGCGCAAUGGGCGAAAGCCUGACGCAGCAACGCCGCGUGGAGGAUGACGGUUUUCGGAUUGUAAACUCCUUUCAAUAGCGAAGAAAUUGACUGUAACUAUAGAAGAAGCCCCGGCUAAAUACGUGCCAGCAGCCGCGGUAAUACGUAUGGGGCAAGCGUUAUCCGGAUUCAUUGGGCGUAAAGAGCGCGUAGGUGGAUUGUUAAGCGAGAUGUGAAAACUGGGGGCUCAACCCCCAGCCUGCAUCUCGAACUGGCAGUCUUGAGUUUGGUAGAGGAGUGUGGAAUUCCCAGUGUAGCGGUGGAAUGCGCAGAUAUUGGGAAGAACACCAGUGGCGAAGGCGGCACUCUGGGCCAACACUGACACUGAGGCGCGAAAGCUAGGGGAGCGAACAGGAUUAGAUACCCCUGUAGUCCUA
rnacentral:rRNA from 1 species